AAGCUGAGCAGCAACGCCGCGUGAAGGAUGAAUGGCCUUUGGCCUGUAAACUUCUGUAAAAGAGGAAAAAUAGUUAGGUAUAUCCUAAUGUGAUUGUACUCUUGAAGUAAGCCCCGGCUAACUACGUGCCAGCAGCCGCGGUAAUACGUAGGGGGCAAGCGUUGUCCGGAUUUACUGGGUGUAAAGGGUGCUCAGGCGGACUUAUAAGUCAGUGGUGAAAUCCCGGAGCUUAACUCCGGAACUGCCAUUGAUACUGUAAGUCUCGAGUUUGGGAGAGGUAGAUGGAAUAUCUGGUGUAGCAGUGAAAUGCGUAGAUAUCAGAUAGAACACCAAUGGCGAAGGCAGUCUACUGGUCCAAUACUGACGCUAAAGCACGAAAGUGUGGGUAGCAAACAGGAUUAGAUACCCUGGUAGUCCACACCCUAAACGAUGAAUACUAGACGUUGGCCCUUUUAAGGGUCAGUGUCUGAGCUAACGCAUUAAGUAUUCCACCUGGGAAGUACGAUCGCAAGGUUGAAACUCAAGG
rnacentral:rRNA from 1 species